rnacentral:rRNA from 1 species
GCCUGGGGAGUACGGUCGCAAGGCUGAAACUUAAAGGAAUUGGCGGGGGAACACCGCAACCUGAGGAUUGUGCGGUUUAAUUGGAUUCAACGCCGGAAAACUCACCAGUGCCGACGGACAAAUGAAAGCCAGGUUAACGACUUUGCUGGAUUGUUCGAGAGGUAGUGCAUGGCCGCCGUCAGUUCGUACCGUAAGGCGUUCUGUUAAGUCAGAUAACGAACGAGACCCUCAUCCCUAUUUGCCAAGGUCUCUCCGGAGAUCAAGGGACUAUAGGGAGACCGCUGGCGCGAAGUCAGAGGAAGGCGAGGGCAACGGUAGGUCAGUAUGCUCCGAAUGCACUGGGCUACACGCGCAAUACAAAGGACGGGACAAUGGGCUGCUGCUCCGAGAGGAAAGAUGGCUAUCCCGAAACCCGUUCGUAGUUCGGAUCGAGGGCUGUAACUCGCCCUCGUGAAGCUGGAUUAGGUAGUAAUCGCGUCUCAAAAAGGCGCGGUGAAUACGCCCCUGUUCCUUGCACACACCGCCCGUCAAACCAUCUUAGUUGGGGGUGGGUGAGGCUGCCUUUUAGUGGGGUAUUCGAGCCUGCUUUCGACAAGGAGGGUUAAGUCGUAACAAGGUAUCUGUA